CGGGGAGUGGCGCAGCCUGGUAGCGCACUUGUCUUGGGAACAAGGGGUCGCAGGUUCGAAUCCUGUCUCCCCGACCA
rnacentral:tRNA from 1 species